AGAGUUUGAUCCUGGCUCAGAUUGAACGCUGGCGGCAGGCCUAACACAUGCAAGUCGAGCGGUAGCACAGAGAGCUUGCUCUCGGGUGACGAGCGGCGGACGGGUGAGUAAUGUCUGGGAAACUGCCUGAUGGAGGGGGAUAACUACUGGAAACGGUAGCUAAUACCGCAUAACGUCGCAAGACCAAAGUGGGGGACCUUCGGGCCUCAUGCCAUCAGAUGUGCCCAGAUGGGAUUAGCUUGUAGGUGGGGUAACGGCUCACCUAGGCGACGAUCCCUAGCUGGUCUGAGAGGAUGACCAGCCACACUGGAACUGAGACACGGUCCAGACUCCUACGGGAGGCAGCAGUGGGGAAUAUUGCACAAUGGGCGCAAGCCUGAUGCAGCCAUGCCGCGUGUGUGAAGAAGGCCUUCGGGUUGUAAAGCACUUUCAGCGGGGAGGAAGGCGGUGAGGUUAAUAACCUCAUCGAUUGACGUUACCCGCAGAAGAAGCACCGGCUAACUCCGUGCCAGCAGCCGCGGUAAUACGGAGGGUGCAAGCGUUAAUCGGAAUUACUGGGCGUAAAGCGCACGCAGGCGGUCUGUCAAGUCGGAUGUGAAAUCCCCGGGCUCAACCUGGGAACUGCAUUCGAAACUGGCAGGCUAGAGUCUUGUAGAGGGGGGUAGAAUUCCAGGUGUAGCGGUGAAAUGCGUAGAGAUCUGGAGGAAUACCGGUGGCGAAGGCGGCCCCCUGGACAAAGACUGACGCUCAGGUGCGAAAGCGUGGGGAGCAAACAGGAUUAGAUACCCUGGUAGUCCACGCUGUAAACGAUGUCGAUUUGGAGGUUGUGCCCUUGAGGCGUGGCUUCCGGAGCUAACGCGUUAAAUCGACCGCCUGGGGAGUACGGCCGCAAGGUUAAAACUCAAAUGAAUUGACGGGGGCCCGCACAAGCGGUGGAGCAUGUGGUUUAAUUCGAUGCAACGCGAAGAACCUUACCUGGUCUUGACAUCCACAGAACUUUCCAGAGAUGGAUUGGUGCCUUCGGGAACUGUGAGACAGGUGCUGCAUGGCUGUCGUCAGCUCGUGUUGUGAAAUGUUGGGUUAAGUCCCGCAACGAGCGCAACCCUUAUCCUUUGUUGCCAGCGGUCCGGCCGGGAACUCAAAGGAGACUGCCAGUGAUAAACUGGAGGAAGGUGGGGAUGACGUCAAGUCAUCAUGGCCCUUACGACCAGGGCUACACACGUGCUACAAUGGCAUAUACAAAGAGAAGCGACCUCGCGAGAGCAAGCGGACCUCAUAAAGUAUGUCGUAGUCCGGAUUGGAGUCUGCAACUCGACUCCAUGAAGUCGGAAUCGCUAGUAAUCGUAGAUCAGAAUGCUACGGUGAAUACGUUCCCGGGCCUUGUACACACCGCCCGUCACACCAUGGGAGUGGGUUGCAAAAGAAGUAGGUAGCUUAACCUUCGGGAGGGCGCUUACCACUUUGUGAUUCAUGACUGGGGUGAAGUCGUAACAAGGUAACC
rnacentral:rRNA from 1 species